rnacentral:rRNA from 1 species
UGCACUGGGGGACAACACUUAGAAAUAGGUGCUAAUACCGCAUAGGCACACGGCACUGCAUGGUGCAGCGUGGAAAACUACGGUGGUGCAGGAUGGGCCCGCGUCUGAUUAGCUAGUUGGCGGGAUAAAGGCCCACCAAGGCGACGAUCAGUAGCCGGCCUGAGAGGGUGGGCGGCCACAUUGGGACUGAGACACGGCCCAAACUCCUACGGGAGGCAGCAGUGGGGGAUAUUGGACAAUGGGGGGAACCCUGAUCCAGCGACGCCGCGUGAGUGAAGGAGCGCCUCGGCGCGUAAAGCUCUAUCAGCAGGGAAGAAGAAGGACGGUACCUGACUAAGAAGCCCCGGCUAACUACGUGCCAGCAGCCGCGGUAAUACGUAGGAGGCAAGCGUUAUCCGGAUUUACUGGGUGUAAAGGGAGCGUAGACGGCAGGCCAAGUCUGAUGUGAAAGGUCGGGGCCCAACCCCGGGACUGCAUUGGAAACUGGCUGGCUAGAGUACAGGAGAGGCAGGCGGAAUUCCUAGUGUAGCGGUGAAAUGCGUAGAUAUUAGGAGGAACACCAGUGGCGAAGGCGGCCUGCUGGACUGUGACUGACGUUGAGGCUCGAAAGCGUGGGGAGCAAACAGGAUUAGAUACCCUGGUAGUCCACGCCGUAAACGAU